rnacentral:ncRNA from 1 species
AGGUUUGGUCCUAGCCUUAAAAUCAAUUUUUACUUAAUUUACACAUGCAAGUCUCCGCAUACCCGUGAGAAUGCCCUUCUACCCAUACAUGGACAAGGAGCUGGUAUCAGGCACAUGAAUUGCCCAAGACACCUAGCCACGCCACACCCACAAGGGUUAUCAGCAGUGAUUAACAUUAAAAAUAAACGCCAGUUUGAUUUAGUUAAUGAAAACAGAACCGGCCAAUCUGGUGCCAGCCGCCGCGGUUACACCACGUGGUUCAAAUUGAUUUCUACCGGCGUAAAGCGUGAUUAAAAAGACAACCAAUGGGGUCAAACUUAAACUAAGCCGUAACACGAUUGUUCUUAAGAAAACCACACUAUAGAUACCCCAAACUAACUACUUGAACUCACGAUAACUAGGAUACAAACUGGGAUUAGAUACCCCACUAUGCCUAGUCUUAAACCAUAACUUACACCACCAUCGCCCGGGGACUACGAGCAAAGCUUAAAACCCAAAGGACUUGACGGUACCCCACAUCCACCUAGAGGAGCCUGUCCUAUAAUCGACACCCCGCGUUUAACCUCACCAUUUUUAGUCAUCAGCCUGUAUACUUCCGUCGUCAGCUUACCGCAUGAGCGCUUCUAGUAAGCUUAGUGACCGCCCGCCAAUACGUCAGGUCAAAGUGCAGCAAAUAAAAUGGGAAGAGAUGGGCUACACUUUCUAAUAUAGAAAAUACGAAAGACUACAUGAAACAUUAAUCAGAAGGCGGAUUUAGUAGUAAGCAGAACAGAACAUUCUCCUUAACCCGGCACUGGGGUGUGUACACACCGCCCGUCACUCUCUUCAACACAUCCAACCCAGUCUAUAACACCUGCCAAUAUUUAGAAGAGAUAAGUCGUAACAUGGUAAGUAUACCGGAAGGUGUGCUUGGA